UAGGGAAUCUUCCACAAUGGACGCAAGUCUGAUGGAGCAACGCCGCGUGAGUGAAGAAGGUUUUCGGACCGUAAAGCUCUGUUGUUGGUGAAGAAGGAUAGAGGUAGUAACUGGCCUUUAUUUGACGGUAAUCAACCAGAAAGUCACGGCUAACUACGUGCCAGCAGCCGCGGUAAUACGUAGGUGGCAAGCGUUGUCCGGAUUUAUUGGGCGUAAAGCGAGCGCAGGCGGAAGAAUAAGUCUGAUGUGAAAGCCCUCGGCUUAACCGAGGAAUUGCAUCGGAAACUGUUUUCUUGAGUGCAGAAGAGGAGAGUAGAACUCCAUGUGUAGCGGUGGAAUGCGUAGAUAUAUGGAAGAAUACCAGUGGCGAAGGCGGCUCUCUGGUCUGCAACUGACGCUGAGGCUCGAAAGCAUGGGUAGCGAACAGGAUUAGAUACCCUGGUAGUCCAUGCCGUAAACGAUGAGUGCUAAGUGUUGGGAGGCUUCCGCCUCUCAGUGCUGCAGCUAACGCAUUAAGCACUCCGCCUGGGGGAGUACGACCGCAAGGUUGAAACUCUAA
rnacentral:rRNA from 1 species